UACGUAGGGUGCGAGCGUUGUCCGGAAUCAUUGGGCGUAAAGCGCACGUAGGCGGCUUGCCAAGUCGGACGUGAAAUCCCUCAGCUCAACUGAGGACGUGCACCCGAAACUGGCGAGCUUGAGUACUGAAGAGGAUCGCGGAAUUCCCGGUGUAGAGGUGAAAUUCGUAGAUAUCGGGAGGAACACCAGUGGCGAAGGCGGCGAUCUGGGCAGAUACUGACGCUGAGGUGCGAAAGCGUGGGGAGCAAACAGG
rnacentral:rRNA from 1 species